rnacentral:rRNA from 1 species
GACGAACGCUGGCGGCGUGCUUAACACAUGCAAGUCGAACGGAAAGGCCCUGCUUAUGUGGGGUGCUCGAGUGGCGAACGGGUGAGUAACACGUGAGUAACCUGCCCUUGACUUUGGGAUAACUUCAGGCAACUGGGGCUAAUACCGGAUAGGAGCUCCUGCUGCAUGGUGGGGGUUGGAAAGUUUCGGCGGUUGGGGAUGGACUCGCGGCUUAUCAGCUUGUUGGUGGGGUAGUGGCUUACCAAGGCUUUGCCGGGUAGCCGGCCUGAGAGGGUGACCGGCCACACUGGGACUGAGAUACGGCCCAGACUCCUACGGGAGGCAGCAGUGGGGAAUAUUGCACAAUGGGCGGAAGCCUGAUGCAGCAACGCCGCGUGCGGGAUGACGGCCUUCGGGUUGUAAACCGCUUUCGCCUGUGACGAAGCGUGAGUGACGGUAAUGGGUGAAGAAGCACCGGCUAACUACGUG